rnacentral:snRNA from 1 species
UCGCUUCAGCAGCGCAUAUACUAAAAUUGGAACGAUACAGAGAAGAUUAGCAGGUGAUGCAGACUUGUGAAGUGUUCCAUAUUUUU